rnacentral:rRNA from 1 species
ACUCCUGCGGGAGGCAGCAGUGGGGAAUUUUGGGCAAUGGGGGCAACCCUGAUCCAGCAAUGCCGCGUGAGUGAAGAAGGCCUUCGGGUUGUAAAGCUCUUUUGUCAGGGAAGAAACGGUGGUGGCGAAUAACUACUACUAAUGACGGUACCUGAAGAAUAAGCACCGGCUAACUACGUGCCAGCAGCCGCGGUAAUACGUAGGGUGCAAGCGUUAAUCGGAAUUACUGGGCGUAAAGCGUGCGCAGGCGGUUGUGUAAGUCAGAUGUGAAAUCCCCGGGCUCAACCUGGGAAUUGCAUUUGAGACUGCACGGCUAGAGUGUGUCAGAGGGGGGUAGAAUUCCACGUGUAGCAGUGAAAUGCGUAGAUAUGUGGAGGAAUACCGAUGGCGAAGGCAGCCCCCUGGGAUAACACUGACGCUCAUGCACGAAAGCGUGGGGAGCAAACAGGAUUAGAAACCCGAGUAGUCCCAUGAU